CAGGAUGUGGGAAAGCUUGGUAUUCCGCGUGCUUCGGGUGCACGAGAUCGCUGGUUCAAAUCCAGUCGUCCUGA
rnacentral:tRNA from 1 species